rnacentral:lncRNA from 13 species
GCCUGGUAUAUUGAGGAACACAUGACUCAUCAUCCCAAAGUACUUCAUCUCUUACCUAUGCUGUCUCUACGCUGUAGUCCCCUUCCAGCCCCAGAGGGAAGGGAGAGAGUGAAGUCAUGUGAAUAACACAGGUGGAGGGGUGUUAUGAAGAAAAAAUGGAGAAGGUCCCUGGCUUUGUGGCACUUAGAAGAACUUCAUAAAGGAAACAGACACUACAAAAGAGGCAAACUGGGCCAGGCAUGGUGGCUCAUGCCUGUAGUCCCAGCACUUUGGGAGGCAGAGGCGUGUGGAUCACGAGAGUCCCGGAACAUGGCCCCCUGGAGGACGUCGCUUCACAGAGCAACGGCCAAUAAACUUGGCUCCCGCGUCAGCGAAACUCUUGCAAAUAAAAGGGCAUCAACUUCUG